AAUAAGUACAGUUUUAGCACAGUUCAUGUCUAACGUUUGACCGUUCGUCUUAUUUGAAAUUUUUUUAUGACUACUACUUUUAUUGUUAUUAGAUGAUAAAACAUGAAUAACAUUUUAUGUGUGACUAAUUUUUUUUAUAUAUAUUUUAUAAAAUUUUCAAAUAAAACAGAUGAUCAAAAUGAUGGACACAAAUAUUUAUGGCUGCACUUAUU
rfam:Oryza glumipatula chromosome 7, whole genome shotgun sequence.